AGGCCUAUGAGGAUUCCGACUUUAUCGGGGUUUUGAGGAGCUCUGAUAUCAGAGGGAUUGAAGAUUUCUGCUGGACUAACAUUUCAGAGGAAAAAGUGAUAAACGAUGCCUCGCACCAAGGCGUCCCGACGUUCAGCAGCAGCGAAGAAAAGGCUGAUGGACCGGAACGUUGUGGCUAAGACUUAUGACGGGGUUAUGCCAUUUCCCCCCUCCCGGAAUACCAAAAUGGCUCUGACCGUGACUAAUCUGACUAGCCACAACCAACAGACUGAUUCCGCUGCUGCUGCCGUCCAUGUCGUGGCUAAGACUCAUGACAGGGUUAUGCCAUUUCCCUCCUCCCGGAAUAACAAAAUGGCUAUGACUGACUGCUUCGACAAGCCACGACCAACGGCCUGUGUCUGUCAUGGCUAUGACUGAUGACGGGGUUACGCCUUAUCCCCCCUCUCGGAAUUCCAAAAAGCUCCCGACUGUGACUUUCCCAACGAGCCAUGACCACCGGGUUCCCACCCUGGGUGCCAUUUGUACGACAGAUGACGAGUUGUUUGUGCCUUCUCUGACGAGGUGCAGCCACCUCAAAAGAAAGGCUGCAACUAUGAGACCAUCCAAAAAACUAUGCAAACGACCAUCCAAGAAAUGCAAACGACCAUCCAGUACAGCACUGCAAGUGCCCGUUCAAUUGCCCAUUCCAUUGUCCAUUCAACUUGCCAUUCAAUUGUCAAAACCCUUGUCAAAGUCUGAAUCAAAACUUACCCUGGAUCAACAACAGCAUGUGAACUGUAUAACUACAUCUGUAUCUACUGAUUUUCCUCAGGCACCUACAGUGAGAGGAUCCUUCCACCAAGGACACCCACGUUUUGGAGUCAACAGUAACGAGCAGUGUGUUGCUAAUAGUUUGAUUGCUACACUAAUGUGUAAAGUAAAGAACAUCUUAAGCUGGUCAGUCACCGACAUUGAUCAAGUGCUGCUGAAUGGAGAUGACCUCUACAGUGCCAUCAGAGACGCUGGGAGAAUUCAAGAUGCUUCUGGGUAUCUGU